UUUAGUGGGACCCUGUCCUCUUACUUUGCCUAUGUCUUCUCCCGGAGAAAACAAGUUCAGUCCAAACUUCUGUGCAAAGCUCGGAUGGAAUUUCAAAAAAAACUGAGAAGAAACUGGAGGUCCAGCUUGCAUAGCAAUGUGGCCAGACCUCAGCAUCAUCACAUUACGGAUUGCAUUCUUACCCAAAUACUCUUCGUGAUUGCCUGCUUUGCGGCUUUGGGGUAAGUCCCAGUUUUCCACAACCUUAAGAAAAAAAAAAAAUGCAUACCAU